rnacentral:rRNA from 1 species
CCUACGGGAGGCAGCAGUGAGGAAUAUUGGUCAAUGGACGCAAGUCUGAACCAGCCAUGCCGCGUGCAGGAAGACGGCUCUAUGAGUUGUAAACUGCUUUUGUACGAGGGUAAACGCAGAUACGCGUAUCUGUCUGAAAGUAUCGUACGCAUCACGAUCGGCUAACUCCGUGCCAGCCGCCGCGGUAAUACGGAGGAUUCAAGCGUUAUCCGGAUUUAUUGGGUUUAAAGGGUGCGUAGGCGGUCGGAUAAGUUAGAGGUGAAAUCCCGAGGCUCAACUUCGGAAGUGCCUCUGAUACUGUUCGGCUAGAGAGUAGUUGCGGGAGGCGGAAUGUAUGGUGUAGCGGUGAAAUGCUUAGAGAUCAUACAGAACACCGAUUGCGAAGGCAGCUUACCAAGCUACUUCUGACGUUGAGGCACGAAAGCGUGGGGAGCAAACAGGAUUAGAUACCCCUGUAGUC